rnacentral:rRNA from 1 species
UACGAAGGGUGCAAGCGUUACUCGGAAUUACUGGGCGUAAAGCGUGCGUAGGUGGUGAGUUAAGUCUGAUGUGAAAUCCCCGGGCUCAACCUGGGAAUGGCAUUGGAUACUGGCUCGCUCGAGUGCGGUAGAGGGUGGUGGAAUUCCCGGUGUAGCAGUGAAAUGCGUAGAGAUCAGGAGGAACAUCUGUGGCGAAGGCGGCCACCUGGACCAGCACUGACACUGAGGCACGAAAGCGUGGGGAGCAAACAGG